CAGUCGCCGCGGGAAUACGAAGGGUGCAAGCGUUAAUCGGAAUUACUGGGCGUAAAGCGUGCGUAGGCGGUUAUAUAAGACAGAUGUGAAAUCCCCGGGCUCAACCUGGGACCUGCAUUUGUGACUGUAUAGCUAGAGUACGGUAGAGGGGGAUGGAAUUCCGCGUGUAGCAGUGAAAUGCGUAGAUAUGCGGAGGAACACCGAUGGCGAAGGCAAUCCCCUGGACCUGCACUGACGCUCAUGCACGAAAGCGUGGGGAGCAAACAGGAUUAGAUACCCGAGUAGUCCCUGUCUCUUAUAC
rnacentral:rRNA from 1 species